rnacentral:tRNA from 1 species
GCUGGUAUAGUAUAUAUGGUAUUACGUGGGUUUGCAAAACCUAAAAUAAUGGUUCAAUUCCAUUUAUCAGCU